rnacentral:rRNA from 1 species
UUUGACCUCGGAUCAGGUAGGAAUACCCGCUGAACUUAAGCAUAUCAAUAAGCGGAGGAAAAGA